CUCUGCCCCUGACACCUUCGUAGUAGGCGACAUACGUCUGCUAUUUCCUUGCUGGAGCGUGAUGUCAUGUGCAGGUGCGAUGGAUCGCGUACAAACCAAUAGGAUGUCGGAAUGGUACAGUAUAUAUGUUCAUGCUUCUCAUCCAACCACAGUCAAAUUCACUCUAUCCGGAUGGCACGAUUUAUCUGGAUAGGUUUUUUUGUGUGUGGGUUUUUAUCAACAAUGACA